rnacentral:rRNA from 1 species
AUUGAACGCUGGCGGCAUGCCUUACACAUGCAAGUCGAACGGCAGCGCGGACUUCGGUCUGGCGGCGAGUGGCGAACGGGUGAGUAAUACAUCGGAACGUACCCUGUUGUGGGGGAUAACUAGUCGAAGGAUUAGCUAAUACCGCAUACGACCUGAGGGUGAAAGUGGGGGACCGCAAGGCCUCACGCAGCAGGAGCGGCCGAUGUCUGAUUAGCUAGUUGGUGGGGUAAAGGCCCACCAAGGCGACGAUCAGUAGCUGGUCUGAGAGGACGAUCAGCCACACUGGGACUGAGACACGGCCCAGACUCCUACGGGAGGCAGCAGUGGGGAAUUUUGGACAAUGGGGGCAACCCUGAUCCAGCAAUGCCGCGUGUGUGAAGAAGGCCUUCGGGUUGUAAAGCACUUUUGUCCGGAAAGAAAUCGCGCUGGUUAAUACCUGGCGUGGAUGACGGUACCGGAAGAAUAAGCACCGGCUAACUACGUG